CCACCACCAGGGCUCUGCCCACUGUGAUGUGGUCACUAUGUCACUAGGACUGGUGAUAGGAUUUCAUACUGGGACCAGCCCUCAGCUACCCUUGGAGAAAGAUUGCAGAGCUGCCUUCGUCCAUGGCUGUGGGGACCUUCCAGCUCCAUGAAACAGCUGGAAACCCUGAUAAUUUUGCUGCAGUGUUAAUCCUUGCCACAACAUAUUCUGUCAAAGAUAACAGAGGGAAUGAAUACUGUUACCACAAUAAGAGGGGAAAAUCUGUAAUUAUCUGCAUACAUAAUAAGAAUCAGACCAAGAAGUCAGACCUUGUAAAUAACCAUGCUGUGAUCUAAGAUAGCAAGUUGAUUCAGCAAGAAAUAGAUAGUUGAUUCAGCAAGAAAUAGAUAGUCAACAUUUCUAUAGUCUUAUUCUGUCUGGAAUUUUCAGAAAUCUUGCUUAACUGUUCCAUGCUUCAGGUAACACUUAAUACAGCAAAAUCAUCCUUAUAUCUCUUGUUUUGCUACAGGUAAG
rnacentral:lncRNA from 1 species